CGUCUGAUAAUGCUGACGUACCGGCGUUCGCGGAAGAAACGUGUCUGUGUUAUUUUAAUUAUAGAAUACAAAUAAUUAUGGGAUAAUAAAGUUAUCAGCCUAAAUUAACUAAACAUCAUGCCAAUGAUCCGGAAGCUUCUAUUAAAACUGUGUACAAGGGGAAAAGCCGGCGAACAGUAGGCCUACAUGUCACCGAGAAGUGGGGCAGUAGGCAAAAGCUUGGAACGCAAUCACAAGAACUUGCAGAAGUUCAGAUUAAGAAUGAGAAACCAGAAACAAACUUAAUUGCUAACUGUACUACAAAUAGCAGUUCAGUAUCAGACGUAGAUACUUCGGUUACAUUUGAUGAACUGUACAGGUGUUGUGAUUGCUGUUCAUGGGAGACUACGUGCCUCACAUGCUUGCGGUUGAGGCAUAAACAUCCUCAUCUGCAUUUGGAAGAACAUGGCUUACCUUUCUUUCAUUGAUGAUGAUGAGGCUUGGAAAUUGAAUGACCAUUCCUGUAGCACUACUUACCUGAAAAAACUCGUGGUCGUGGAUGAUAAAGGUCGACAGCAUUUGAAGACCCUGCAAUUUUGCAAGUGUGAAGUUGAAGCUGUACGCUUGAUUAGGUUCAACCUGUGGCCAUCUUCAACCAAAUUUCCAAACGUGGCAUUUCACUUUGACUUCAUGCGCUGGUUAUGUGGUCUUCUUCUUCUUGAAAAGCUCGGUGUCAUUUAAAAGUUUCUGCUCCGCAUUAGACGCGUGGACAUCAAAGCACAUGAAGACAUAUAUUCAUCACCCUGUCAAAGAUUUGUACAAAGUGCUUGUAGGAGGAACAGCCGAUGAAUUUCGACAUUUUAUCUACCAAAUGGAAAACAUCCACGAUGAUGGAUCCAAAUGUCCAGCUUGUUAUGAGGAUUCUCCCUCCCUGAUAAGCUUGCUAGAGCAGAGGAUAUAGAAAAAAAAAGCAAGGAGGCUCUUCAAGAAAUUUUGGAACCUUUUGCAGGAGUAACAACUGAAUGUCUACAGGAAUGGAUAGAUUAUGAGCGGGUUGUGUGUAUCCGCAGCAAAUCAACUGAAAAUCACUCCUUGUCACCUGCUGAAGAGUAUUGUCUAGUCCUGGAGGAGCUAACAAAAUACAGGGGUGUGUUUGCGACGGAUGUAAACAAAGAUAAGAAAAGGCUAGAGACAAAACUGAAAAAGAAAGGGAAGAAGGCUGGUGUCAAAUG